GGCUGGAUCACCUCCUUUCUAAAGGAUUCCUGCCGGCCGAUGGUGACAUCGAGUCGGUACGAAUUGUGGAGACAGAUCUUGUGCCAGCCAGAGGUCAGCCGAUGAGCGAAAGCUCAAAAGCAAACUACUGAAUUGAAAAGUAAGGGCCCCCGCAGGGCUAGCCAAACCUGCGUGGGGCCUUUUUUUGCGCGCAUGCAUAGACCGGCUAUGCUAAGCCGCAAGCGGCGUUCGACGCCAGCUUUCACGAAGUGCGGGAUUCCUACGACCGCGCCGAGUCGUUGCUGAAGUUUGACGUGAUCCGCUUCGGUCAUGGCCAAAUAGAAGCCGUCGCCGCGGCUUUUUCGAAACGAUCGCCGCGCAACAGUACACGUGCUACGCCUGCGCGAUCCUGCCGGACCACGUUCACAUCGUAAUCCGCAAGCAUCGCGAUCGGGCCGAGAAAAUGAUCGCUCGCUUGCAGGAAGCCAGCCGCUUGCGGCUUAGCAGCGCGCGACUCGCGCCGCGUGAACACCCCGUCUGGACCAGCGGCGGUUGGAAGUCCUUCCUCGACUCGCCCGGGGCUGUCAGCGCAGCGAUGCGCUACGUCGAGAAAAAUCUCGUGAAAUCUGGGCUCAGCGCCCACAAUUGGUCGUUCGUCCACCCCUACGACGACUGGACAUUCGAAAAACAAAAGCCGUAACCGCCAGCGUUGAUCCAUCCGCUUGCGGCUUAGCGAUCAGCGACCACACCUACGCCGCCUUGUAAUACUGCGCCACGAUAUCGCCGUUCGCCUGCGCCGCUUCGGCGUACCAGAUGUUCAAAAUCGUGUUCCGCACCCCCACCUGGCCGGCCAGCGUCGUGCGGCCGUGCCAGCUCUUGAGCGUCAGGGCGUUGAUCACCGCGAACGCAUAGGCCACGUUCGGCAAGAACGGCGGCUGCUUGGCCACUUCGAACCCGCGCGGCUCCCGCAGCAAAUGCAACGGAUUGAAACUGCGCCGAUAGAAUUCGGUCCCCAGGUGUUUCUGGCUGUCGUCGGCCGGCAGGGCAAUCUGCAUCGUCACGACUUUCUUGCGCGUGUCGGGGUGGGGCUUGAUCAUGUAGCC
rnacentral:misc_RNA from 1 species